CAUCUCUAUCAGACAGGAUGGAAAACAUAUGUGUGAGUAAAAACACUAAGGUUACCUAGAUAUGUUUCCUCUAAAUACAUAUCGAGACAGUUUGCUCCAAAAUUCUUGGGUUUUUGUUUCCCAGGAAAUCCAGCUGUGCAAAGUUGAAGCUAGUUAACAAAACUAGGGAGAAGACACCAAUCCCUUUUCCCUCUCCCCCCUUGCUUUUCUUGUCUCCCUAUCUCAAAUGAAGUUACGCACGAUGCAGAACUGGAAGAAAGAAGUUGUCUGCCUGGGAUAACAUAGUGAAAAUUGAGGUGAGGAUUUAAUACCAAAAUUAAGUCUUACAGAGGAAAAGUAAUGGCAGCAGAAAAAUACUGGAACACUACAGGAAAGUUAUGUGACAAAAUGGGAUUUCACAGAAUCGCAGAAUGGUCAAGGUUGGAAGGGACUUCUGGAGGUCAUGUGGUCUAGCCUCCCAGCUCAAGCAGGGCCACCUAGAGCCAGUUCCCCAGGAACAAGUCCAGAUGGCUUUUGAAUAUCUCCAAGGAGGGAGGCUCCUUUACCCCUCUGGGCAACCUGUGCCACUGCUCGGUCACCCUCAGUAAAUAAAUGCCUCCUGAUGUUCAGAAGGAAUCUCCUGUGUUUCAGUUUGUGCCCGUUGCCUCUUGUCCUUUUACUGGGCACCACUGAAAAGAGCCUGGUUCCAUCUUCUUUGCACCCUCCCUUCAGAUAUUUUUAUACGUUGGUAAGUUUCCCCUAAGCCUUAGCUUCUCCGGGCUGAACAGUGCAACUCUCAGCCUUUUUAAUAUCUCCAAGGAUGGAGACUUUACAACUUUUCUGGGCAACCUGUGCAGAUGGACGAGCAGGUGGGAUCAAGGAAGGACCUCAAUGUCCUAACCAGGCUUUCCUGUUCUUAGUUAUUUUAGCAAAAACAUUAAGUUUCAGGAAAAGACAUUGUAACUAGAGUGUUUUUGUUAAUGAGUGCAGGGUUUGCAUUGGAGGGUGGAAAGCAAGGACUAUAAAGGAACUAGGAAGACCCUUGUCUCCACUUACGAAGCUUUUUUUCUUCUAGCUGGUUUUGUUAUCUCUACAUCUCAGUUGUCAUACAAAAUGGUGCCCUUGCUUUAUUUCUGUGUCCUUUAGAAGUUACUGGUAGAGUCAAAGUUCUUGGAGCUGUCCAUGUUGUCCUCUGCCUCUGAAUCCUAAUUAAACACUCUGAAUCUGUUAUGAAGAGGAGCUAACAGAGCUAUUUCACUUUGGUAUAUCAUUGUAUGUGAGACUUGGGUAAGAUAUGAAUGCAGGUAUUAUGUGGUCUAACAAAAGCAUGGAAUAUUCAGGCAUACACCUACUGACAAUGUGAAUGUGCCAUCAGGUCAUCACUUGCAGGAGAGGUAAUUUAAUUUAGAGCGGUGGAUGCUGUUCACUUUAACUUUUGCAAUGACUUUGACACAGUCUCUAGUACAGUCGGUGUAGCCAAUUUGGUGACAAAUGUACUGCAUAAGCAGACUACUAGAUAAUGCAGAAAAUUGGCUGGGCCACUAGAUUCAGAGGGGUUUGAUCAGUGGUAUAUAAUCCAGUCGUUGGCUGGUUAUUAGUGGCAUUCUUUAGAGUUGGUACUGGGCGGAUACUGUUUAACAUCUUUAGGAUACAGACAGUAAGACAGAAUAUGUCCUCAACAAGCUGGUAGAUGAUACUAAACUGAGGGGGAGCAGUCAAUAGGCUGGAGGUUAGGGUUGCUAUUUAGUGGGACCUCAGCAGGCUGGAGAAAUGGGCUGACAGGAACAUCAUGAAGUUCAAUGAAGAAAAAUGAAAAAAAAAAAAUCUGUAUCUAGAGCAUGCACAACAAUACAGGCUGACUGCUGGCUGGCCAGAAGGCAGUGUUGCUGGACAGCACUCAAGUGCCCAAGCUGAACAUGAAUCAGUGGUGCACCUUUGCAGUGAAGAAAGUCAACUGUAUACUGGGUGGUAUCAGAAUGUAGCCAGCAGGUCAAUAGAAGGGAUUAUUCCCCUCUCUUUGGCACUCGUGAGACCUGUCUCCAGUUUUGAGCUCCCCAAAUAAUUGACAUAUUGGAGCUAGUCUACUGAGGUGAUUUAGGUUUUGGAGCACAUCAUAAUGUUUAAGGAGGCAGAGAGAGCUGGGUCUGUUCAGUCUUGGGAAGAGAAAGUAAGGGGAAGAUCUUAUUGAUGUCUUCAACUGCCUAACUGGAUUGUGUAGAGAACACAGAGCCAGACUCUUCUUGGAAGUUAACAGUGGUAGGACAAGAGGCAACAGACACAAGCUGCAGCAAGGAAAAUUCCAAUUGGACAGCCAUACGGACAGCUUUUCAUCUUGGGGGCUGUCAGAUACUAGAACAGGUGCCCAGAGAGGCUGUGGAAUCUCCGUCCUUGGAGAUACAUAGCUGGAUGGGGCCCUGAGCAACCUUAUCUAAGUUGGCCCUGUUUUGUAUGGGGCAUUGGACCAGACGACCUCCAGAAGACUCUUCCAACCUAAAUUCUUCUAUGCUUUUAUUAUGUCAUGAAACUCCGGUUUGGGUGAUGCGUAUCGUUAGCAGGAAUACUACGUAAUGAAAGUAAGCAGUAGUUGUGACCAGGAAACAACUCCAAAGAUAGUUGUCUUAGGAACUCCUACCAAAGAUCCAUGAUCAUAGAGGAACAAGACGAGUGAAGGCAACUUCCUCCAGUUGGAAAGUCCAGGUAAUUAGCAAACUUGAUUUGUAUUUUACUGGAAAGAUUUUUUUCUGCCUCUCUCUACUAACAGAAGUCUGUGUAGAAGAUUUUAGAAAAUUUAGGACUAUUAAGACUGUUAGAAGUUAGUAUAGAAUGGGUUAAGGUUAUUAAUGGCAACAGAGCUGCUCAACAGGCCAUGAACAGUGUUCUCAGCCUGCCCCCUGGUAUAGCCCCAAUCCAGGACCAGAUUAAAACCCAGCCAAGCUAAUCCGUAGAGACAGAUCAAACGAAAGAUGAAAAAUCAGCAAGAUACAGGUGCUUAGCCGGGGAGUGAUUAAAAUAUAGAGAACUUACAAAGAUAAAUGUGAAAUAGUUAAUGGAACAACCAGAGAGGUUUUCUCAGAAUUGUGUAGGUAUGAGACUUCAAGGUAAAGCGGAUGGGAAGAUGACUGACCCAAGAUGGACUUUGAAAGCCACAGGAUGAUGACCAGAUGGAACAAGAGAAGAAUUGAUGAGACAAGAUGCUGAUGAAUGAUAAUGACGUGGGAACUGAGAUCAACUGGAAAAUUACAAAGACUUUGGACUGGGAUAAUGGGUGGUAAAAAGGUAUACAAGACUGAGAAAUUUUUGGAGGGUUGCCAUUCACUGCGGUGGUGGCCCAACUCUGAGUUGUUAAUAAAGCAAACCUAGAGAAACCCAUGACUGAGAAUUCUUGAACAGAAUUGGCACCCCAAAUGGGACUCUAGAACACAAGAGGAAGGAGACCAGGGCUCUCUUUGGGCAGACCCGUAACCAAUACUCAAAAGCUGGCAAAAGUAUCAGGGCACACACAGCGAGAUUGUCCACUGCAACCUGUGGCAGCAGGACAACGAUCUGUUGCAGCAUAGCCACCGCAACCACAUUCUCAAUGAUAUUGAGGAAUCCAAGGUGAUUGGGAUGACUGAGCCUCUUGAUGGAGUGGACGUAAAUGAGUAUGGACAGAUUACUGCAAAGGUACUCAAGGAGUGGAAAUUAUCACCCUUACUGGAGCAGCAAGGUAUGCAAUCGGAAUGCGUGUAAAUCUUUACACUGAUUCUAAAUAUGCUUUUAGAGUCUGUUGUGCAACAGGUGUGCUAUGGAAAGAGAGAGGAUUUCUCACCUCCGCAGGAAAAACUGUUGCACAUGGGGCAGAAAUUAAAGCAUUGUUGGAAGCGAUCAAGUUACCUUCUAAAAUUGCCGUGAUAUAUAUAAAGACCUACACGAACAAGACGGACAGAAUCACAAAGAGGAAUGCCCUAGCAGAUCAAGCAGCUAAGGCGGCAGCAAAACAGAUCUUAUUAUUGAUGGCAUUGAAGUUGGAGUACUCAGAAGGGGAACUCCCUGAGAUGGGAAAAUUAUAUGAUGAUCUCCCAGAAGAUAAGAAAAAACUAUGGGAAAAACUUGGAGGAGAGCAAAGCAAAGGAAUCUGGACAUUAGGAGGUAAAGCGUUACUUCCCAAAAGGUAUUUAUUACCAAUCAUGCAAUGGUACCAUGAUAAGAUGCAUGGGGGACCAGAGAGUAUUGCCUUGAAGAUUCAGAGAUUGUGGGCAGCACCAGGAGUUUAUGCAGCAACUAAAAGGAUUUGUCAAAGUUGCUGGUUGUGUAAAGAAUGUGCAACUCUCCAAAUUAAAACCCCAUCUGGGAAAAGACCUCCGGAUACAUAUCCUUUUCAGAAAUUACAAAUAGACUAUGCUGAAAUGCCCAAGGCAUUAGGUUUUACCUCUAUGCUGGUGAUAGUUGAUCAGCUGUCUGGAUGGGUAGAAGCCUUCCCGAUAAGGGAAAGUGAUUCAAAAGCAGUAGUGAAAGCUUUGAUUAAAGAAGUCAUACCAAGAUAUGGGGUACCAGAAGUGAUUGAUUCAGAUCGAGGAGCACAUUUCUCAGCUGCAAUUCUUUUGCAGAUAUAUCAUUUUUUUUAAACACUAAAGCUCAAUUUCGUACACCCUAUCACCCAGAAUACUCAGGGCAGAUAGGAAGGAUGAACAGGACAAUAAAAGAAAAAAUGGUGAAAGUGUAUAAACAGACAGGAUUGAAAUGGCCAGAAGCUUUAAAUUUAGUUCUUUGGGAUAUUAGGAAUACACCAAGGCAACCAAUAGGAGUUUCAUCUGCUGAAAUCCUAUUUGGGAGGAUAAUAGCAGUACCGGGGAACUUAAGUCCCAGCUAAGACAAGCUUAUUGGAUGGAGGUGAACAAGUGACCCAACAUUUACUAUACUUACAACAUUCAUUUACUAAGUUGAGAAAUCAUGCAUAUUGGUACCGAGGAGUUUCUCCAGAAGUACAGGUGCAUGACAUUCAACCUGGAGACGUGGUUUAUAUUAAAAAAUUUAAAAGGAAGAACAGGUCUGAACCAAAUUGAGAAGGACCUUAUCUUAUAUUAUUAACCUCUUUUUAUGCCAUAAAGAUACAAGGAAAAGAAGCCUGGAUCCAUCAUUCACAUGUAAAGAUACUUCGGAAGAAUUAACAUCUCAACAGCAAUCUUGGUAUUGACUCAAUUUUUGUUUUUUACUGACACCUUGUGGUCUAAUUUUAUAUUGCAUUACCGAGAACUUGAAACUGUACGAACUGUGAGAAGUUAUGGAAAUCCCACAUACCAAAACUUUGGUAGAGCUAAGGGAACUCAAAUUAGAAAUAAUAGAAGUGUUGUUGUUUCCGGGAACACAAAAUUAGAGUGGGAAGUUCCUGAAAAUAUAAUGCAAACUGCAAAAUUUUGUGUAAUGGUUUGGUCUAAUCUUGAAGGUCCUUGGAAUUUCAAACCUUGCUGCGAACCAAAACGGUGAAUUCCUUGUGCUUAUCUUUUACAAAUACGUGAGCCAAGAACAGGGAAAGGAACUUCGUGUAUCAGUCACGACCUAUGGAUGAUUGGACAUGGACAACAUAAGGAAACAGGUUAGAUGAACAAUGAUUGGUGGUGUUAUGAUUUAUCUCUGAAUCAUGCCUUUUUCAUUGAAUAUCAGGUUUUGAUAUUAGGUGUACGAGGCGAACCUAACAAGCAGGAAAUUUAUGACUGAGUUUUGAGAAGAUCUUUUGAAUAUCGAUCAAUACCAAAUUUUGAACGAAAACUAGGAAAACCUAGGAGCCUGCCAGACAUAAAUUGGGAAAAUCAUUGAAAAGACAACACACGUGUCUAUAAUGCAGUCGAUCUCACAUAAUGUAAAUCUGUCUGAUUGCUGGCUUUGUGUUACCUUACCAAACUCAGUAGGUUACAGAACUCAAUUGGUAAGGGUACCUAUCCCAAUGAAUAAAAAUUGGGAAAAAUACUGGCAAAAUACCACCUUCACUGAUGCUCAUGAGGAACAUAUAUGGGAUAUUAGUUUACCUACAGGUGCUGAUUCUCUCCCUACACAAUGUAUCCAGAGACGUUAUCCACCUGACAUUAAGAACAAGAAUUUAUGUAAAAAAUCAUAUGUUUGUAGGUAAUUAGACUAAAUGUAACACUACUAUAAUGAUUAAGUCAGCAACUGAAUUGAGUUGGAUUGGAGCAACUUCUUUGGGGGUCUUUUGGUUGUGUGGACAGAGGGCAUACAAAGCUCUUGUACAUUGGGACUGUUGUCCACGGAUUUAGAAAUAUGGCCAAAAAACUUGAAGGCCUGUUUGGCAUAGAACAUUUUUAUCACGUACUCGACAAACCAGAAAUAGACAGAUCCACUAAAUUUCAAUCUUUUAUCCAUUGGUUCAUGCCAAGACUAGGUGUAAGUGAAUCGGAAAAGGCAAUUUCGAAUGUUUCUGGUGAAAUUGAGAAGUUAGUCAAUUAUACUGCUCAUGGGUUAUUAACUUUACAAAAAGAGUUUCAUGAGUUACCUAAGUUGACUCUUCAAAACCAUAUGGCAUUAGAUAUUCUUUUGGCAUCACAAGGAGGAGUAUGUAUGGUGUUAAAUGUUAGUUGUUGUAUGUAUGUAGACCACACUGGAGAAUUGCUGACCAAUGUGCGUAAAAUAUGGGAAAUACAUUCAAGGAUGCAACAAAUAGCGAAAGAUGAUACAUCACGGGGAUUUGCAGAAAUCUUUUCUUGGCUCAUGUCAUGGUUUCCAAGCGUAGCAACAUGGUUGAAAAAGGGGAUUGUGAUACUGAUAGUAAUUAUUGUGAUUUUUGUGUGUGGAUUAGUUUUAGCACAAGGUUGUAUUGCUUGUUAUAUAAGCAUGAUGAAUAAGAUUAGAGAUACUGCCUGGAAUUAUUGUAGUUAUUAUAAUUGCAGGUAUGCAAUUGAGUAGAAUAAAAACAAAAGGAGGGAACUGUAGAAGAUUUUAGAAAAUUUAGGACUAUUAAGACUGUUAGAAGUUAGUAUAGAAUGGGUUAAGGUUAUUAAUGGCAACAGAGCUGCUCAACAGGCCAUGAACAGUGUUCUCAGCCUGCCCCCUGGUAUAGCCCCAAUCCAGGACCAGAUUAAAACCCAGCCAAGCUAAUCCGUAGAGACAGAUCAAACGAAAGAUGAAAAAUCAGCAAGAUACAGGUGCUUAGCCGGGGAGUGAUUAAAAUAUAGAGAACUUACAAAGAUAAAUGUGAAAUAGUUAAUGGAACAACCAGAGAGGUUUUCUCAGAAUUGUGUAGGUAUGAGACUUCAAGGUAAAGCGGAUGGGAAGAUGACUGACCCAAGAUGGACUUUGAAAGCCACAGGAUGAUGACCAGAUGGAACAAGAGAAGAAUUGAUGAGACAAGAUGCUGAUGAAUGAUAAUGACGUGGGAACUGAGAUCAACUGGAAAAUUACAAAGACUUUGGACUGGGAUAAUGGGUGGUAAAAAGGUAUACAAGACUGAGAAAUUUUUGGAGGGUUGCCAUUCACUGCGGUGGUGGCCCAACUCUGAGUUGUUAAUAAAGCAAACCUAGAGAAA